rnacentral:lncRNA from 1 species
AGCAGAUCCAACUGCUAUCCAGCAGCUCCAACUGCUAUCCAGCAGAUCCGGCUGAUAUCCAGCAGAUCCAACCGCAGACCAGCAGAUCCAACCGCAGACCAGCAGAUCCAACCGCAGACCAGCAGGUCCAACCGCGGGCCAGCAGGUCCAACUGCAGGCCAGCAGGUCCAACUGCUAACCAACUGCCCACUGCGCUCGGCAUUAUUGCAUCACGUGACAUCACAGGGUACUGAACGCCCCCAGCCCAAUGGCGGCGGUGUCCUGGCCAGCCCCAGUCCCAGCCUUGCUCUCCACUGCCGCCCUUCACAGCAACGGCUCCACCCUACCCAGCUGUGGUUUGUUUGCCCCUCUUCAGCUGAAUCCAGGACUCCUCCUUCCCCCUCAGCCUGUCUCACAGGCUUUGACCAGCACAGCUCACCUCAGCAGUGCCCCCCGGGUGCGGGCUGAAGGCAGGUUGGGAUGCCAGUAUUAAAAACGUUCUGUUAGCACCCAUCUGCUGCUGUUUUGUCUUCACCAAUGGAACUGUGCCUCUGCUGCUGGGUGUUAGGCGGUAAUUCCUCCUGAUUGCGAGGCCAACAUGUGUGCCUGAGCGAUGUGGGGGGCAAGGAGCGCAGCGCCUCUCGGCCUGAGGAGCUCUCUCCCUCAGCUCUGCUCUGCAGAGCGUUUACUCUGUGCCAGUGGUCAGCAGUGUGGCUGCUCUCAGCUUUUCCCCACAUCUAUAAACGUUCUGAUCGUUUUCUGACACACGAGGACACUCAGAGGAGCAGAGGUUGGGCGCCAGUGGGCUCUGUGGUGUGGUGUAACCCAGCAGCCACUCAGGCCUAUACCUUUGAUCAGUCUACUGCAGUCUUUGAUCAGACUACUGCAGAGGGAUGAGAGAGAGAACUGGAAAUGAAAUUGAACAAGUGGGACGAAAUAAAAAAAUACCUGCAAAGGCAGAAGACAAGAAGGGAAACCUCAAUACAGUGAUUACACUGUAUAGGGCCACGAUGCACUUACUCAACGCUCUCCAGCAACACACAGCAAUAAACAGUGCGUGUUUCUUCACAACCUAAUCCAGCCUUACCUGCCCUAAUUAACCCCCCCACCCGGAACAGCGAUGAGUCAUAAACUUUUAUUUAAU